UGUGGAGGUGUAACUUCCCCUAGGAGUAACCACUGGGAAGGAGGCGAUGCUCAUUAAGUGUGUGAUAUGCAACCGGUUCAGAACUCUGCCUGUCCACUGAGAGAGCCUUUCACCGCUGCCUGGCAAGCCCGACAUUUGAACUCGUUCAGGGGGAAAAAAAGAAAGAGUGGAUUUUACUUUUCAAAGUGGAAAGAAUACCUUCGUCGGGGGCAGCUUUCCUUUCUGUAGCAUCCAGGAGAAGUUGGGAACUGUACAUAGCUAAGACGAAGACAAUUUGCUGAUUUCUUUUGUGCUGUUCUGAUUGAACACAAAUGCGUGUCUUUUGGGAGGGAGGGAGAAAAGGAGAAGAGUUUGCUACUGGUGGAAUGCAUACAAUGCAGGAAGAAGUGUGUUCACACAACUAGGAAGAAGCAUGAACUGUUGAAUGCAUCUGGAGCAUGGCUGCUGUGUGCUUCUCUUCGACCCCAGCGGCUACAGAGCUGCAGGUGUUUUCCUGGAGACACAAAAGUUAACAAGGAUAGAGGUGUUGGCCAACAGCCAGAAGGAUAAAAUUGCCCAGAAGAGAAAGAUGAGGAACUACAAGAGUCGUCCCAUGCUGAGUUUUUGUACCUUUGUGGCUCUCGAAGCAAACACAUAGAUCUCCCCUUGGCAGAUGGACUGGUCCCAUUUCUACCCUUUCACAUCCAGCCUGUAGAUCAGCAUCAUUCCUAUUUUCCAGUUGGAGAUGGAACCGAGGUGGAGAUUGCAGUUUACCAAAGGCUAUUCUAUCACUGAGCAAAAAUGUGGAUGCAGGAAUCACAGCUCUGAACAAGUACCAUGCCCACUGCAGAGCAAGCAGGAGAGAAGAGAGAGAGACAUGGGCAAGAGGUUCUCCAGAAAGAAAACCACCCCUGCUCCUUACCUGGGCUAUCAGGAGAAUCCCAGUUGACUUCUCUAACUUCCUGUCCUGCAAGUUUCUGCCGGGUCAGAGGAACACAGAAAGAAAGGAAAUGAAUCAGACAAGAGGGACCUGCGCCUCCUCACCCUCCCGUCACUCUGCCCAUUUUGCCAGGGAAGAAGGCAAGGGGUUUUUGUGUGUGUGUGUGUGUGUCUUUCUCUCUCCCCUCCCUCCCCCCCAUAUAACACACCCCCUUGCCUGUCUCUCCACCAAUGAGUUUGGCUUUGCAAAUGCGUCUUCUGCGCCUUGAGUCAUCGGCCACGAUCACUUCACAGCAAUGAAACCACAGAAUCCCCUUCCAAAAGCGAGCGCUGGAACUCAACAAAACUCAGUUCUGGCGCUUCUCACGUGGGUGCUAUUGGCAUUCUAAGAGAAUGAGGGAAGUGUUUUCAUGGUGCAUGGAUUCAGAAAGCAGAUGUUGCCAGAAUGGGUAAGUCAAACACCUUUUGAUAUCUGGUAAAUCUACCUUAGGGGCAGGAAACCCUCUGGGUCUUGAAAUCUGGGUAUUGGGUACUGAACAUGCCUGAUCUUAACCCUGGGUCAAGUGUUCUGCAUGCUCCCUCCAUGAUAAAGAAAGCAGUGUAAGGUGAACUGAGAACUCAGACUUGAGUUGCAGGAACCUUGCUGAAGCUCAGGAUGUCUGGGCCUGGGCGAUGAAAAGCAGGAUAUUCAAAUGAUGAUGAUGAGUAACAACACUAAAUAAUGAUUUCCAUAAGGUCCCAUUGAAAUUGCACCUAAAAUUAUGUGGAACUCCCUGCUCCCAAGAGAUCAAGUUAGCUUUCUCUAUCUUUGUGUUCUGAUGAUAAUUGAAAAGUUUCACCGGAAGACAGGAAAGAAGCCUUAUACUGAGUCAGACCAAUGGUCAAUCUAGCUCUACACUGACUGGCAGCAGCCAUCCAGGGUUCCAGGUGGAGGAUGUUCACAGUCCUACCUGAAGAUGCCAUUGGAGGUUGAACCUUUCUGCAUGCAGAGCAGAUGCUUAGACACUCAGCUUUCUCAAACAAGCUUAAACUUCUGCUACUGAUGACUGUUAGUGUUACCCUUGAUGCUUUUACUGCUGUUUUUUUUUAAUAGUUGUGUUAUUUUGUGUGUUGGUGAUUGAAUUAUUGGUGAUUUUAUGUUUGCUUUUUGUUCUCAAGCUGCUCUGAGCAAGUCAGGGGGAGAAGGGGGGGGUUGUACAUUUUUUGAAUAAAUAAAUUGAAAUGCAAAUCCAGAGAUUCCUCCUUUGGUGAUGUGUAUUAAGGAGAGCUGACAGGGCUGGCCUAAUAUGCAUUGCUGCCUGAGGUGGAGCAGGAAAUGAUUCCUUCUUCCCACACCAAGUCAAGGUGCAGAACGCCCAAGGCCAGCCCAAGCUAAGUUGGCACCUAAGGAGGACAAUCCCACAAGCACAUCACUCCUUCCUUGAGGCAAAUGCCUCACCCUGCCUAAUGGCAGAGCUGGCCCUGGGACCCAGAUGAGUUCUGGAAGACUCAUUGCAUUUCUAAAGAAGUGUGUGUGCCUUUCCCCCACACAUGCCUUAACUAUUAUCAGGUUUUGCGUAACAUGGAAGUUUGAAGUGAAUUCAAGGAAUAUCAGGAAAAACAUCAACGAAAUUUCAGAGAGGAAAUAAGACAGCCAGCAAAAUUUAUUCUCACAUCCUUUAACUGCAGGUCAGGCACAUCAAUAUCUGCAUUUUGCCUCUCCUCCUAUCCUUAGAAGCUGCAAGACUGUCCAUCCAAGUUGCAGAUACAGAAAGAUCCCCAAACUGAGCAGGCGCAGACAAUCUUGUAGACUUCAGAGCACCUUCAAUGUUGCCCUUUUCAAUAUUGUUUGUGGUAUGGACAGCACAAGUCUGUGGUGUGUGUGUGUGUGUGUGUGUGUGUGUGUUUGUUUUAACAGACAGAAGUCAGUUUUUGAUCUUCAUUACAUGUGGACAGUCUUGGUGUGUGGACCAAAACAGUCACUCCAAUUCACCAUCCUAUUUGCAGGAGAUGAACU